AUAUGGGAUCGACUCAAGUUUUAGGUGAGUCGACUCAUCUGCAGGAUGAUAGCAAGAAUAGAAUGGGUCUCAGGUGUUUUAUGCUUUGAUUUAAAAAAAAAUUAAGAGAAUAGCUCAGCAACCUUGUUAUAUGAAGAAAAAGUAGAAAUUUCUCUUAAUAGCAUAUCAGCAAAUGCAUUAAUUGCAUGUCUUUUAUGAGAGUGACAUGUGGCAAGCAGCUCUUUAUUUUAUUUACAUUUUAAACUAUAGCCAUAUGUUCCUUUUUGCUGUCAUUUAGACCCCAUAAGUAAAACAUACAGAAU
rnacentral:lncRNA from 1 species